rnacentral:rRNA from 1 species
GACGAACGCUGGCGGCGUGCUUAACACAUGCAAGUCGAACGGAAAGGCCCUGCUUUUGUGGGGUGCUCGAGUGGCGAACGGGUGAGUAACACGUGAGUAACCUGCCCUUGACUUUGGGAUAACUUCAGGAAACUGGGGCUAAUACCGGAUAGGAGCUCCUGCUGCAUGGUGGGGGUUGGAAAGUUUCGGCGGUUGGGGAUGGACUCGCGGCUUAUCAGCUUGUUGGUGGGGUAGUGGCUUACCAAGGCUUUGACGGGUAGCCGGCCUGAGAGGGUGACCGGCCACAUUGGGACUGAGAUACGGCCCAGACUGCUACGGGAGGCAGCAGUGGGGCAUAUUGCACAAUGGGCGGAAGCCUGAUGCAGCAACGCCGCGUGCGGGAUGACGGCCUUCGGGUUGUAAACCGCUUUCGCCUGUGACGAAGCGUGAGUGCCGGUCAUGGGUAAAGAAGCACCGGCUAACUACGUG